rnacentral:rRNA from 1 species
CCUACGGGGGGCAGCAGUAGGGAAUCUUUCACAAUGGGCGAAAGCCUGAUGGAGCAACGCCGCGUGCAGGAUGAAGGCCUUCGGGUUGUAAACUGCUUUUAUAAGCGAGAAAUAUGAUGGUAACUUAUGAAUAAGGAUCGGCUAACUACGUGCCAGCAGCCGCGGUCAUACGUAGGAUCCGAGCAUUAUCCGGAGUGACUGGGUGUAAAGAGUUGCGUAGGUGGCAUAAUAAGUAGCUAGUGAAAUCUGGUGGCUCAACCAUUCAGACUAUAAGCUAAACUGUUAAGCUCGAGACCGUUAGGGGUAAGUGGAAUUUCUAGUGUAGGAGUGAAAUCCGUAGAUAUUAGAAGGAACACCAAUAGCGUAGGCAGGUUGCUGGGACGGUUCUGACACUAAGGCACGAAAGCGUAGGGAGCAAACGGGAUUAGAUACCCUUGUAGUC